CGUCCGGUGGGGGCGGCGGCGGGAGGAAGGGGAGCGGAGGCGGAGGCGCAGCAAGUCAAUGAGGCACGCACGGCGGAGUUAGGUGGCGACACAGCUGUCGGGUGGGGGCAUCGCGUGGCAGAGGAGCGGCUAUCAGGCGGGGGCAUCGCGUGGCAGAGGAGACGGCAGCGGCGGCGAGACGAGGGACGCCCGAGCUCCUCGGCCCAGCUCAACAGAAGGUUUUACAGCUCGAGUCAUACUCAGAUAUGCCCAUCAGUUCAGCAACAUCACAGAUAGAAAAGCAUAUCUGGUCUGAUGGAAUAGAAGAAAGCACAUGUGAACUCAAGAACAAUACAACACAUUACAUAGUGGGGGAGAACAGCCAGUUUGGGGGAAAUAUACUUGUAGAUCAGUAGAAGAUUUGCAAACUGCAACCAUGGCUCAAGGACUGCAACCCUGGAUCACGAAGAUGCAUGAAAAAACACACACAAUUCAGUACAUAAAAUGGUUCCAUGGAUUAAACAUUAAAGCCUCAUUCCCUAACACUGGAAAAUUCAGUAGAAGCUUUGCACAUAGCAGUCAUCGCCGCCAACGAUGUGCAAACCAGAAAAACGGGGAACGUUUGACCUAGGCCAGAAUCUUCAAUCACCGCUCAGUGUGCCACGCGCUGGACAAGCAGGUCAAGAGCAGGGUCCACUUCAAGGAUAUGGAUGACUAUCUGAAGGGAUGCAGGUUUCUUCCCAAACUUAACAACAAGAUACUAGGUGAAAGAAAUGCUCCCUACAAGGAAAGGUUGAGCAGCCUAGAGAAUUUAGUACUGAUCAGGGUACAAGAUAGCGACAGAGUGCUGCAGGAUAAUGAGAUGUUGAAGCAGCGGACUGAAUCCAUGACACCGAAGUGCAAUUGCGGCAGAUUAUCUCUAUCUUUUCUUUUCAUUUUUCUUAUUAUUGAGUGAGAAUAGAAUGAGGAACUGUGUGAUAGUACAUACAACAACUGUAGUAAAAAGAAACUUAUGUUUGCAAUUGUUAAUGACAUAGAUACUUGCAUGUUCUUUGAAGUGGUCAUUUGUGAGUAGCAAUGCAUAAUGAGGUUAUUUUGGCUGAUUUA